rnacentral:rRNA from 1 species
GAUUGGUGCUUGCAUCAUGAUUUACAUUUGAGUGAGUGGCGAACUGGUGAGUAACACGUGGGAAACCUGCCCAGAAGCGGGGGAUAACACCUGGAAACAGAUGCUAAUACCGCAUAACAACUUGGACCGCAUGGUCCGAGCUUGAAAGAUGGCUUCGGCUAUCACUUUUGGAUGGUCCCGCGGCGUAUUAGCUAGAUGGUGGGGUAACGGCUCACCAUGGCAAUGAUACGUAGCCGACCUGAGAGGGUAAUCGGCCACAUUGGGACUGAGACACGGCCCAAACUCCUACGGGAGGCAGCAGUAGGGAAUCUUCCACAAUGGACGAAAGUCUGAUGGAGCAACGCCGCGUGAGUGAAGAAGGGUUUCGGCUCGUAAAACUCUGUUGUUAAAGAAGAACAUAUCUGAGAGUAACUGUUCAGGUAUUGACGGUAUUUAACCAGAAAGCCACGGCUAACUACGUGCCAGCAGCCGCGGUAAUACGUAGGUGGCAAGCGUUGUCCGGAUUUAUUGGGCGUAAAGCGAGCGCAGGCGGUUUUUUAAGUCUGAUGUGAAAGCCUUCGGCUCAACCGAAGAAGUGCAUCGGAAACUGGGAAACUUGAGUGCAGAAGAGGACAGUGGAACUCCAUGUGUAGCGGUGAAAUGCGUAGAUAUAUGGAAGAACACCAGUGGCGAAGGCGGCUGUCUGGUCUGUAACUGACGCUGAGGCUCGAAAGUAUGGGUAGCAAACAGGAUUAGAUACCCUGGUAGUCCAUACCGUAAACGAUGAAUGCUAAGUGUUUGGAAGGGUUUCCGCCCUUCAGUGCUGCAGCUAACGCAUUAAGCAUUCCGCCUGGGGGAGUACGGCCGCAAGGCUGAAACUCAAAGGAAUUGACGGGGGCCCGCACAAGCGGUGGAGCAUGUGGUUUAAUUCGAAGCUACGCGAAGAACCUUACCAGGUCUUGACAUACUAUGCAAAUCUAAGAGAUUAGACGUUCCCUUCGGGGACAUGGAUACAGGUGGUGCAUGGUUGUCGUCAGCUCGUGUCGUGAGAUGUUGGGUUAAGUCCCGCAACGAGCGCAACCCUUAUUAUCAGUUGCCAGCAUUAAGUUGGGCACUCUGGUGAGACUGCCGGUGACAAACCGGAGGAAGGUGGGGAUGACGUCAAAUCAUCAUGCCCCUUAUGACCUGGGCUACACACGUGCUACAAUGGAUGGUACAACGAGUUGCGAACUCGCGAGAGUAAGCUAAUCUCUUAAAGCCAUUCUCAGUUCGGAUUGUAGGCUGCAACUCGCCUACAUGAAGUCGGAAUCGCUAGUAAUCGCGGAUCAGCAUGCCGCGGUGAAUACGUUCCCGGGCCUUGUACACACCGCCCGUCACACCAUGAGAGUUUGUAACACCCAAAGUCGGUGGG